rnacentral:tRNA from 1 species
GCUGAUGUAGCUCAGGGGUAGAGCACUUCCUUGGUAAGGAAGAGGUCACGAGUUCAAAUCUCGUCAUCAGCUCAU